rnacentral:rRNA from 1 species
CCUCUAUUGGUGUUUGUGUUGCCUGCAUCGAGAGAUGGGGGCAAGCGCACACCAAGGAUAUUGGCAAAAAGCCAAGUUUACAAGAGGCAAUAACAGGUCUGUGAUGCCCUUUGAUGUUCUGGGCCGCACGCGCGCUACACUGAUGCAUGCAGCGAGUACGAGCUGCGCUGUCAAGCGUGGCGAAUCUACAAUAUGCAUCGUGAUGGGGAUAAUCCAUUGUAAUUAUUGGAUUUGAACGAGGAAUUCCUAGUAAGCGCGAGUCAUCAACUUGCGUUGAUUAUGUCCCUGCCCUUUGUACACACCGCCCGUCGCUACUACCGAUUGAAUGGUUUAGUGAGGCCUUUGGAUUGACUGCUGUAACAGGUGGUUGAGAAGCUGGUCAAACUUGGUCAUUUAGAGGAAGUAAAAGUCG